rnacentral:tRNA from 1 species
CAGAGAAUAGUUUAAUGUUAGAAUCCUAGCUUUGGGAGUUAGGGGCAGGGGUUAGAGUCUCCUUUUUCUGA